AUUGAACGCUGGCGGCAUGCCUUACACAUGCAAGUCGAACGGCAGCACGGGUGCUUGCACCUGGUGGCGAGUGGCGAACGGGUGAGUAAUACAUCGGAACGUACCUUAUCGUGGGGGAUAACGCAGCGAAAGUUGCGCUAAUACCGCAUACGCCCUGAGGGGGAAAGCGGGGGACCGUAAGGCCUCGCGCGAUUAGAGCGGCCGAUGUCUGAUUAGCGUGUUGGUGAGGUAAAAGCUCACCAAGGCGAUGAUAAGUAGUGGGUCUGAGAGGACGAUCAGCCAAACUGGGACUGAGACACGGCCCAGACUCCUACGGGGGGCAGCAGUGGGGAAUGUUGGACAAUGGGGGAGACCCUGAGCCAGCAAUGCCGCGUGAGUGAAGAAGGCCUUCGGGUUGUAAAGCUCUUUUGUCGGGGAAGAAACAGCAGCUCUAACACAGUCUGCGAAUGACGGUACCUGAAGAAUAAGCACCGGCUAACUACGUGCCAGCCGCCGCAGUAA
rnacentral:rRNA from 1 species